rnacentral:rRNA from 1 species
ACGAACGCUGGCGGCGUGCCUAAUACCUGCAAGUUGAGCGCUGAAGGUUGGUACUUGUACCAACUGGAUGAGCAGCGAACGGGUGAGUAACGCGUGGGGAAUCUGCCUUUGAGCGGGGGACAACAUUUGGAAACGAAUGCUAAUACCGCAUAAAAACUUUAAACACAAGUUUUAAGUUUGAAAGAUGCAAUUGCAUCACUCAAAGAUGAUCCCGCGUUGUAUUAGCUAGUUGGUGAGGUAAAGGCUCACCAGGGCGAUGAUACAUAGCCGACCUGAGAGGGUGAUCGGCCACAAUGGGACUGAGACACGGCCCAAACUCCUACGGGAGGCAGCAGUAGGGGAUCUUCGGCAAUGGACGAAAGUCUGACCGAGCAACGCCGCGUGAGUGAAGAAGGUUUUCGGAUCGUAAAACUCUGUUGGUAGAGAAGAACGUUGGUGAGAGUGGAAAGCUCAUCAAGUGACGGUAACUACCCAGAAAGGGACGGCUAACUACGUG